rnacentral:rRNA from 1 species
AAUACCUCGGGGGGAUGACGGUACCUGAAGAAUAAGCACCGGCUAACUACGUGCCAGCAGCCGCGGUAAUACGUAGGGUGCGAGCGUUAAUCGGAAUUACUGGGCGUAAAGCGUGCGCAGGCGGUUGUGCAAGACAGGUGUGAAAUCCCCGGGCUUAACCUGGGAACUGCACUUGUGACUGCACGGCUAGAGUACGGUAGAGGGGAGUGGAAUUCCGCGUGUAGCAGUGAAAUGCGUAGAUAUGCGGAGGAACACCGAUGGCGAAGGCAAUCCCCUGGACCUGUACUGACGCUCAUGCACGAAAGCGUGGGGAGCAAACAGGAUUAGAUACCCUGGUAG